rnacentral:rRNA from 1 species
UACGGGAGGCAGCAGUGGGGAAUAUUGCACAAUGGGCGAAAGCCUGAUGCAGCUAUGCCGCGUGUAUGAAGAAGGCCUUAGGGUUGUAAAGUACUUUCAUCGGGGAGGAAAAAACAAAACUAAUAAUUUUAUUUCUUGACGUUACCCGAAAAAGAAGCACCGGCUAACUCCGUGCCAGCAGCCGCGGUAAUACGGAGGGUGCUAGCGUUAAUCAGAAUUACUGGGCGUAAAGAGCACGUAGGUGGUUUUUUUAAGUCAGAUGUGAAAUCCCUGGGCUUAACCUAGGAACUGCAUUUUGAAACUGAAAUACUAGAGUAUCGUAGAGGGAGGUAGAAUUCUAGGUGUAGCGGUGAAAUGCGUAGAUAUCUGGAGGAAUACCUGUGGCGAAAGCGGCCUCCUAAACGAAUACUGACACUGAGUGCGAAAGCGUGGGGAGCAAACAGGGAUUAGAUACC